rnacentral:rRNA from 1 species
AAUGAACGUUGGCGGCGUGCCUAACACAUGCAAGUCGAGCGAGAAAGCUCCUUCGGGAGUGAGUACAGCGGCGGACGGUUGAGUAACACGUGAGAAUUUGCCCUUCAGUGAAGAAUACUCUCGAGAAAUCGAGCUUAAUGCUGCAUACGUCCCUUCGGGGAGAAAAGUGGCCUCUUUGCUGCUGCUGAAGGAUAAGCUUGCGGACUAUCAGCUUGUUGGUGAGGUAAAGGCUCACCAAGGCUAUGACGGUUAGCCGGCCUGAGAGGGUGGUCGGCCAGAUUGGAACUGAGACACGGUCCAGACUCCUACGGGAGGCAGCAGUGAGGAAUCUUGCGCAAUGGGCGAAAGCCUGACGCAGCGACGCCGCGU